GAUGAACGCUGGCGGCGUGCCUAAUACAUGCAAGUCGAGCGAACGGACGAGAAGCUUGCUUCUCUGAUGUUAGCGGCGGACGGGAGAGUAACACGUGGAUAACCUACCUAUAAGACUGGGAUAACUUCGGGAAACAGGAGCUAAUACCGGAUAAUAUUUUGAACCGCAUGGUUCAAAAGUGAAAGACGGUCUUGCUGUCACUUAUAGAUGGAUCCGCGCUGCAUUAGUUAGUUGGUAAGGUAACGGCUUACCAAGGCAACGAUGCAUAGCCGACCUGAGAGGGUGGUCGGCCAGCCUGGAACUGAGAAUCGGUCCAGACUCCUACGGGAGGCAGCAGUAGGGAAUCUUCCGCGAGGGGCGAAAGCCUGACGGAGCAACGCCGCGUGAGUGAUGAAGGUCUUCGGAUCGUAAAACUCUGUUAUUAGGGAAGAACAUAUGUGUAAGUAACUGUGCACAUCUUGACGGUACCUAAUCAGAAAGCCACGGCCAACUACGUG
rnacentral:rRNA from 1 species